rnacentral:lncRNA from 1 species
AGGAAGAAAUAAGCAUAGUUAGUCAUAUAUAAUAUAAACAUAAUCCAUGACACAAUUUUUCUUGCAUUACAAUGACUACCAUCCAUAUUAUCCAUGACACAAUUUUUCUGACAGUACAAGUUCAAUGGUAGUAAAAUAUAAACAUAAAGGUAUCCCUCUUAGAAUGCUAGCAGCCCUUCUUUCUCCUUCCUUCAGUUCAGGCUAGCAUUCCACCGAUGUCAUUACCUAUAGAUGAAAGUUUAAUACGACACUUAGAAGUAAACUCAAAUUGAGAUAAUAUAUCAAUCUUUAAAGCCCAUACAGUAUUAUAAUACUUCCAGAAAGAAUGCUUAAUCGCCAAAAACUGAAAUAUUAGUAAAUUGGUAGUAAAAAGCAUUGUCAGUACCACUUAACUCUGAAGAAUAUCCCCCCAAGAGGAAUGCAAAUUUUAGAUAGGAGCUGAAAUCUGGUGACUGCAACAGCACAAAGAAAAAUCAAGAAUGUACUGUACAUGCAAACUACUGACAAGAAAUAGUAGUGCAUCAGUUGAAAAUAUAAAAAUGAGAUCUGUGUAAACAAAAAAAAUCUUAUCUUUAAUCUACUAGUACAGUUGAUAGUUCAUAUCCUUGAUCCUAGUUGAGAAAGUGUUGAUGUAGAUUGGUAGCAGCAGCAGAUAUGCAGCAAAACUCUUUAGCAAUAUUUGGCUACGAAUAACAAAUUGUCAAUCCAAAAGUCUCAACUAAUUUCACUGACAGAGCAAAUCAUAUAUGAUUAAUAUGAUACGAUCUAUAGUGAAAUACUUAGCUAGAAUAAAAUAAAAAUGAUAUCAAACAUGAAAUCAAACUUUAUGGUGGCAUAAAAAAUUCAAAUAAGCCCUAGUUUAUUGAAUUGGUAUGUCUUCUCGCAAAUUAGUCGAUGUCACUAUACAAUCUACAGCAAUACUGAUUGUCCAGGCGCAAGGUAACUGAUACAAUGCAACCUUAUCAAGAAAGAAAUCAUCCAGAAAUUUUAUCUAGACCAAUAUUUAGCACAUAUAAAAUUAAUAAAUGUGAGAUAAUAAACAGCUAGUAGUAGGUGCAAUAAAAAAAUCCUACACAGGUGGGACAUGAUUCUCAAUCUUCUUGCUUCCAGUGAUGUCCAAACAUAUUCAACUGAUCUUUUCCACCUGCAAGCAUGCAUAUGAUGCAUCAAACUGAAGUUGACAAAAAAAUAACUACAUAUAUAAUUAUAUAUUUGUUUGUUGUUUAGGUAGGUAACAUCGUUAGCAUAUAUUUUUUAAUGAAAAGUUUGAGAAAAAAAAAAUGAAAACCCAUGAGUAUCAAAACCUUGCAGGGAAUUUAGUUCUGCUUUAUUAAAUCUUGCUGCGCUACCUUGGUGAAUUAGGAAAAACCUGCAGACAAGGCAAAAGUCAUGUGGCCUGGAAACCGCAGUACCACUCACAUGUAGGGGAAAUAAGAUAUUCUAGAAAAUCAUGUAUCCAGGCCUUGGUAGGAACUUAGUACUGCUUGCUUAAAGCUUUUUGUUCAACCUGGGUGAAUUAGAAAAAAAACUGUAGACAUUGCAAAAGUCUGGAGAUUAACCGAGUAGAACUCACAUGUGGACAUCAUCGAAUGAAGAAAAGUAAUAAAGUAUCAAUAGUCUUCAUAGAUUGACAAGUUAAAAUAUUUUAUUGCCCCCUCGACAUCACUAAUACAGGAUACAGCCAAAACAUACGGUAAUUUAGUAUACUGACCCCCGUGAAAGAUAACCAGGAUCAUACCACUGUGUCUGUGCUUUUUUAUUAAAGAAAAGAUAUCAUCGAAGACAAUAAAUACACACAAAAUUAAUGGAAAUCAAUUUAGGGAUCGAAGAUGAUUUAGGAAUUCAAGAGUGAUGAAAAUCAAUUACUAAUGAAAACCACAUUUGAGAAUAAAGAUGGGAGGAAAAUACCUCCAGGAUGGCAGUAUGGCACUGUCGAUUGGAGUUCUUUACAGAUUGGCUCCUGAGUUGACGCGGCACCAUAGGACUUGAGGAGUCCGUGAUGGCUGGAAGUUCCUGCAGAUCUAAUCGCCAAAUUCCUCGGUACCUGAUUCAAUCUAGAUCAUUGCGUGGAGAUCAGCCUAUGGGCAAGGACAGGGUAUGAGAGAUCAACGACGAGAGGAGUAGAAUGGGGAUACGGGAGUCCAAAUCAGAGGGGAGGUUGCAGACUUGCAGCCGCCCUUCUGCACGUGCGAGGUGUGGUGGAAUUACAGGGUCAUGGGCAACUGGAUGGAGCGACCUCGAGGUGAGGCAUAGGGCUGGUUAUUAUUAUGGAACGACCGCAAC